UGGGGAAUAUUGGACAAUGGGCGGAAGCCUGAUCCAGCAACGCCGCGUGAGGGAUGACGGCCUUCGGGUUGUAAACCUCUUUCAGUACCGACGAAGCGAAAGUGACGGUAGGUACAGAAGAAGGACCGGCCAACUACGUGCCAGCAGCCGCGGUAAUACGUAGGGUCCGAGCGUUGUCCGGAAUUAUUGGGCGUAAAGGGCUCGUAGGCGGUUUGUCGCGUCGGGAGUGAAAACAGCGGGCUUAACUCGUUGCUUGCUUUCGAUACGGGCAGACUAGAGGUAUGCAGGGGAGAAUGGAAUUCCUGGUGUAGCGGUGAAAUGCGCAGAUAUCAGGAGGAACACCGGUGGCGAAGGCGGUUCUCUGGGCAUUACCUGACGCUGAGGAGCGAAAAGUGUGGGGAGCGAACAGGAUUAGAUACCCUGGUAGUCCACACCGUAAACGUUGGGCGCUAGGUGUGGGGUCCUUUCCACGGAUUCCGUGCCGUAGCUAACGCAUUAAGCGCCCCGCCUGGGGAGUACGGCCGCAAGGCU
rnacentral:rRNA from 1 species